CUACUGCAGGCCCAAGAGGGGCAAUUCACAGAGGUAUGGGCCUUACUUGAAGCUUCAGAGAUAUUGAUCAUGAAUUUGGCUUCCUUGGGUGUGAGAUGGCUGAAGCUGUUGACCCAUGCACACGUGUUGGUAUUUACAAUUGUCUCAUGGAUCCCGGCAGGUCCACAAGCAGACCACUCAUAUGGGGAGCACCAAAUGAGUUCCAGCCACAGUUCUUUUCUAAGCUUUAGAUGCCUCAUGAAGACGCAGGGACUUCUUCCGAGUGCGACCUGGUCACAUCAGGUUACAUUCAGCAGCAGAAGUCUGUUUCCAGUACAGUCCUUGGCAUGGCUAAAUUCCAUUGUCCCUUUUUCAGCAGUCAAAAAUCCAUGAUAAAUUCUGUACAACACUGCAGUCAAUAACAGCAGCACCAGACAGUAUAUUAAUUCCUUUACCAUAAAGCUAUAUGGAAUUA
rnacentral:lncRNA from 1 species